UUGCCAUUGAGUGCCUAUAAAUAUUUAAGAGUUCUUUUGAGUCUCUUCUAUAGUAUAUGAAUUAAGUUUUUAAAUCUAUCAAUAUGAAAAUACUUUUUUAUUUUUUCGUCUUCGUAUUUGUUCUUUGCGUAGACUUUGGAAAUAACCAAAUUAAGAUGACAGAGGCGAACAAGAUAACAUGCAUGGGAUGUGCAGCCGGUGCCGAGUAUUGUUCACCAUCCAAUCCAAGAAAUAAAAAUGACCCAAAUGCGGCAUGUAAUAGUAUUUGCGUGUUUUUUCAUGGUAAGGAUUUCACGACAGGAGAAUGUCUUCCAAACCACGGAUGCAUUUGUACCUAUCCAAAUCCGAAUCGAAGUCAGCCAUGUCCUGAUCCACACUGUUAAUUUUUUAUAAUAAUGCGUGGUGAAUAAAGUGAUGAUGACUGUAUUAUUAUUUAUCAAAAUAAUUAAUAAUUAAAUAGUGGUUGUAAUCUGAUUUAUAAA